GCCUUCGUAGUGUAGUGGUCAGCACGCUCGACGCGCAUUCGAGAGGUCCGUGGUUCGAGUCCCGGCGAGGGCA
rnacentral:tRNA from 2 species